UCUCUCUCUCUCUUUCUCUUUUUCUCCCUGAGACAUAGUUGCUCCAGGAAAAAAGGAAGAUUGCAUUUCGUCGACUUCAUUGUUUAUAAGAAGCUGUCGGGAUUAAUCAGUGGUUAAGCCCAGCAGAAUGAAAACGGUUUGCUCUUUCCAUUUUAAGUGUGAAAGAACCAAAUAAUCUAUGCAGGGGCUCCCCUCACAAACAUUCAAUUUGUUGCCAUGCCUUCUGUCUCCAGGAGACCAUGUGACACCCUCUUCCACAGUAACUCCAGCAACACAACUGUGUGUCUCUCAAAGCCAGGGCAGAAACUGGAUCAAAAUUAUAAUGAAUCUUAUACUGGUCAUUUACACAUCCUGUUUUGCUGCUGCUACCGCUUGAUUUCUCCUCACCUUCCUUGCUGGAACUCACCCUUAUGCACCAUCACCAAGAGACUAUGGUGCCCAGAUGGACAGAUCUCUCGACGGACGGAGGCAGUGAUAAAGACUGGAUGGGAUUCAUGUCAAAAUUCUACCCCUUAAUCAGCUACAGAAAGAGACACACACUCUGAACUCAUCACCUCUGCAACAUUCCUAACCUUGGCCAGCCCAGAAAGUAAAGACCAAGACUUGAAACCAGAUUUCAACACUGUUCUUCCGCCAACCCUGCUUGUGGACUGUGGGACAGAAAACUGAUACUCCAUCUGUAUGCAGCUCUUGUGAGAAUUCAUCUCUAAUUAGAGUUACAAAAUAAUCUCAAUAAAACC